GCCGGUGUGAUGGAAUUGGUAGACGUGACGGACUCAAAAUCCGUUGGUAGCGAUACCGUGUGGGUUCGAGUCCCACCACCGGCA
rfam:Oscillibacter sp. CAG:155 genomic scaffold, scf154